rnacentral:rRNA from 1 species
UACGUAGGGGGCAAGCGUUGUCCGGAUUUAUUGGGCGUAAAGAGCGUGUAGGCGGCUUGGUAGGUCCGCUGUGAAAACUCGAGGCUCAACCUCGAGAUGUCGGCGGAAACCACUUGGCUAGAGUCCGGAAGAGGAGAGUGGAAUUCCCCGGUGGUAGCGGUGAAAUGCGCAGAUAUCGGGAAGAACACCUAUGGCGAAGGCAGCUCUCUGGG